rnacentral:lncRNA from 1 species
AUGCAAUGCAAUGCAUGUGAUGCACGCAAUGCAUGCAACACGUGUGAUGCCCAUGAUGCACACGACGCCCACAAUGCACACAACGCACACAAUGCCUGCGAUGCACACGACGCAUGCAAUGCACAUGAUGCAAUACAUGUGAUGCCCACAAUGCCUGCCAUGCACACGAAGCCCGGGACACCCAAGACCACCCCCCCGGGGGGGGUCUCACCGGUGGAGGUCGUCGCUGCCCUGGCUGGCGUUGGGCGCCCGGCAGUCGUUGUUGAACUCGGGGAUGAAGCCGUAGUCCCGCAGCAGGGCCUCGGCCCCCUUGGCCACGAUGGCCACGCCGUUGCGCACGCGGUGCUGGAGGUCGUCGCGCCAGCCGGAGGAGAGCACGGCGAAGAGGCCGGCGGGGAGGUCCUCGGGCAGCUCCUCGCUGCCCCCCAGGUUGAGGGUGAGGACGCCGCGGUGCUCCCAGCCGAUGAAGCUGCUGUCGGUCAGCACCUCCACGUAGUCCACGAAGUCCUCGUAGCCGGGGAAGAGGGUGGUGACGACGGCGAAGGACGUCCAGUCGUACUCCUCCAGCACCUCGAAGAUCACCUGGAGCUGCUGCUCUGUCGAGGAGCCCAGCUGGAGGAAGGUCUGGGCCGAGAGGAAGUCGAGGAUCUGCGCCACCGCCGGCGAGCCCGAGUCGUCCUCGAAGACGACGCCGUGGAUGCGCAGCGAGGAGAGGACGUCGCAGAGGCGCACGAUGAGGCUCCGGGGGUUGGUGUCGUUCAACACCACGGCCACCGGGUUGACCUCCAGGGGGAAGUCCCGGAAGGCGGCGGGGGUCAGGCGGGGGCCGGGGGGGCCGUAGGAAGAGCCGCUGAGGACCACGGCCACGUUGAGGGUCCGUCGGGUCCCCUCCGGCCGCGGGUCCAAGAAGGGGCCGGCGCACGCCAGCGCCAGGGCGAAGAGCAUGGUGCCC